AGAGUCAGCCGGGUGGUCGCGGGCACGGCCAAGGCCGCGCCCGAGGAAAGUCCGGACUCCGAAGGGCAGGGAGCUGGGUAACGCCCAGGCGGGGCGACCCGACGGAAAGUGCCACAGAAAGGGAAACCGCCCGCCGGCGCUAUGGCGCAUGCGGCGCCGGUGAGCAAGGGUGAAAAGGUGGGGUAAGAGCCCACCAGCGGUUCUGGUGACAGGGCCGGCUUGGUAAACCCCUCCCGGAGCAAGGCCAAAUAGGAGCCGAUGCUGUGGCCCGCAGCGCUCGAGGCUCGGGUAGGCCGCUAGAGGCCGCCGGUAACGGCGGUCCCAGAUGGAUGACCACCACCCGGUGCUAACCGGGUACAGGAUCCGGCUUACAGGCUGGCUCUCUCC
rnacentral:RNase_P_RNA from 1 species